GUAGACAAAACACCCUGGAUAAUA
rnacentral:siRNA from 1 species